AAUAGAUACCCUGGUAGUCCACGCCCUAAACGAUGUCAACUAGCUGUUGGGGGCCUUCGGGCCUUGGUAGCGCAGCUAACGCGUGAAGUUGACCGCCUGGGGAGUACGGUCGCAAGAUUAAAACUCAAAGGAAUUGACGGGGACCCGCACAAGCGGUGGAUGAUGUGGAUUAAUUCGAUGCAACGCGAAAAACCUUACCUACCCUUGACAUGUCUGGAAUCCCGAAGAGAUUUGGGAGUGCUCGCAAGAGAACCGGAACACAGGUGCUGCAUGGCUGUCGUCAGCUCGUGUCGUGAGAUGUUGGGUUAAGUCCCGCAACGAGCGCAACCCUUGUCAUUAGUUGCUACGAAAGGGCACUCUAAUGAGACUGCCGGUGACAAACCGGAGGAAGGUGGGGAUGACGUCAAGUCCUCAUGGCCCUUAUGGGUAGGGCUUCACACGUCAUACAAUGGUCGGGACAGAGGGUCGCCAACCCGCGGAGGGGGAGCCAAUCCCAGAAACCCGAUCGUAGUCCGGAUCGCAGUCUGCAA
rnacentral:rRNA from 1 species